GCGUCUUUAGUUCAGCUGGUAGAGCAUAGGUUUCCAAAACCUAUAGCCGAAGGUUCGAAUCCUUCAGGGCGUG
rnacentral:tRNA from 1 species